UGGGCCGGGGACGAGGAAGUGUUUGUGAACAAAAGGUCAUGAUUAAUCCAGUUCUGAGUGAAACACUGACGUCCGUU